GCUCUGAUAGCUCAGUUGCUAAGACCGUGGUACUGAUAACGCCAAGGUUGCAGGUUCAAUCCCCGUAUGGGACA